CAUUACAAGUGAGGCUACCGAACGUUGGAAACAGCGGCUAGGAGCUUACACCCACCCGUGUUUACAUACUAUUGUUGCUUUGGCGGGCCGUGGCCUCCACUGCGGGCUCUGCUCGUGUGUGCCCGCCAGAGAACCAAACUCUGAAUGUUAGUGAUGUCUGAGUACUAUCUAAUAGUUAAAACUUUCAACAACGGAUCUCUUGGUUCUGGCAUCGAUGAAGAACGCAGCGAAAUGCGAUAGGUAAUGUGAAUUGCAGAAUUCAGUGAACCAUCGAAUCUUUGAACGCACAUUGCGCCCUGUGGUAUUCCGCAGGGCAUGCCUGUUCGAGCGUCAUUUAACCACUCACGCCUAGCGUGGUAUUGGGGCACGCGGUCUCGCGGCCCUCAAAAUUAGUGGCGGCGCCGGUGGGCUCUAAGCGUAGUACAUACUCCCGCUAUAGAGUUCCCCCGGUGGUUCGCCAGAACCCCCAAUCUUUUACAGGUUG
rnacentral:rRNA from 1 species